rnacentral:lncRNA from 1 species
AUUUGGAACAAGCUGGUAUAAUGCUGGAAUUGCUGUUCCACCUGUUUCCUAGAACAAGCUUGUUCCUUGAUGAGAACAAAUUUAAUUAAAAUCUAAAUUUAAUUUUAAUGAUAGUAAAUUAUUAAUUAAUCUAAUUAAUAUUUUUAAAUCAUUAUUUAUUGCUUUAAUAAUUAAAUAAAUAAUUAAAUUUAUUAUUUAUAAUUAAUUAUUAAUAAUUAGAUAAUUAAUAUUAUUAAUUUAUUAUUUAUAAUUAAUUAUUAAUAAUUAUUAUUAUUUAUUAAUAAAUAUUAAUAUUAAUUAUUAUUAAUAAUUAGAUAAUUAAUAUUAUUAAUUUAUAAUUAAUUAUUAAUAAUUAGAUAAUUAAUAUUAUUAAUUUAUUAUUUAUAAUUAAUUAUUAAAUAAUUAUUAUUAUUAUUUAUAAUUAAUUAUUAAUAAUUAAUUUUUUAUUUAUUUUUAAGUAAUAUUUUGAUGUUAACUAAUUACAUAAUAUAAUUUUAAUUUCAAAUUAUAACUCUUAUUCCUCUUAUUCCAAUCUAACCAUCCAAACACUAUUUACCUUAUUCCUAGGAACAACUAAAUUUUCAUCCGCAAAAUUGGUCUAGUUUCUGCUUGUACCUGAACUUGUACCUAUUCCUGGAACUAGCAGUUCUUAUUUAUAUCCGAACCAAACGCAGCCUAAAUGUAUUGAUAUCUUUUAAUUUUUUAAGUCCUUAGAUCUACUUUUUGGCAUUGGAUCAGAUAGUCAAAAAUAAUGAUUACUUAUUGGGCCUAAUCAUUGCGAAUGAUGUAAGAAUCCCUAUAAAAGUUGAUCCAUUACUUAAAAAGGUUAUAGCAUUAACACUCAUAUAUAUAUAUAUAUGAGUGCGUCUAGGGUGCUUUCGGAAGCACGGAGCGCUCCGUGCUUCCACUUUGUUUUCGAUGUUGGAACUUUCAAAUCGACGAUCGGCUCCGUUAGACUUGAUCUAGAGUAUUUGAAGUAUCUAGAAAAUAAAUUUUGCGAUUUUUCGAUAUCAUUUGCCUAGUGAUCGAAGUGGCUCAAAAUCAACGGCUGAAAAUAAAAAUCUCACAAAAUAUGAUGAUAUGACAUUAAAAUUUUAGAUCAAAGUUAUUGAU